AGCCCUCAGUCACACAAGGGGGAAAGUAGGCACCUGAGAAAGGCAGGGUAGAAAGCAGGCCAGGGAAGGAAUGGUAAGGUCUGAGAGGGAUAGACCUGAACUGCUGGCUUGAGGGACCCUGGACGGGAACCUGGAGUAAAAGGUGGGCCCAGGUGCCCCUACCCACCCCGUGGGCUUGGCACAGCGGAGCUGGAGACUGCCUGAGACUUUGAGGAAGGAAUCUCUGAUAAUACGCCAGAAGGGGAGGAUGAUGGUGACUCAGCCAGAGGGUUAAACGACAAAGGAAAGAUACUGCAGCACCUGAUGAGCAAGGAAGGGGCCACAGUGUGACGACUGAGGCAACAGGCUGAGCCACGUGGAGGUGCUGCCGAGCGAGCCAAAUACAUUCAGUGGGAGAUUUUCAGGGGCUCAGCUGGAGUUAGAACUUGGACUCAUGGUAUUAAGGACCUGAACUUGCUCCCACCAAGGUAUCUAUACAGCUAAAUCCCUAAGCUAAAUAUCUAUCGGGCAUGCAUGCUCAAAGACUUUUGUAUGCUUGAGACGUGCAUUAGAAAACUGGAUCAGUUACACAUGCACUUUCUUCAGUCUGUUUGCAAGGUCAGAUUAUGGGAAGUUCCUGAUAUCAAAAAUUCUUAAUCAUUGGAUGUCCAGCAUUCAAAGCAUGCUCAUAAAAGUUCACCUGCAUUGGUCUGGGCAUCUCAUUCAUAUGGCUUAUUUGAGAAUACUCAAGGCCAUAUUUUAUGGUAAGCUAAAGCAAGGCACCCAUUCUCAUUAUAGUACAAACAAUAUAAAGACACACUGUCAAACUUGAAAGCAUGUCAAGUUGAUCUGGGAAGCAACAGCCCAUGACAGAAAAAGGUGGCAGCAAAUUUGUCUUGUCACCAUUAAGAGCUUUGAAGGAUUAACUGCUGUCUGUGCUGUGCUGUGCUUGUUCCUGGAGUCUUUAACUUAACUAAGCAUCCUGGAUUGUAGCAGUGUUAUGAACCCAGGGUACAGUGACCUUUGGGGCAGGGACUUGUUAGUAGUUUGCUGCUUACAUGGGGCGCAGAGGGCCAACAAAAGCCCUUUGGAACAUUUAGAUCCCAUUAGAAUCUUCGGAUUGGAACAUCCACCUCUAAGAUAGAAAAACUGAGAUCAGAGUUUGAGACUUGCCCAAGGUCACAGCAAGCUACAGUGAAGGUCAGAAUAAGAACUCAGGAGUCCCUGGCUAUGCACUAGACCACUCUGUCUCCCACACUUGGAAAUGGAGACAUGAUUAGCUUCUUGUCUGGGCAAGAGAUAUUUAUUUGUUUUUUUUUUCCCCUCUAUCUCAUUCCUUAUUCAAGAUCCAAUCCCUUCUAGCGUAGCUCACAAAGAACUCAUGCUGUGGGCAAAUUUCUCAAUGAGAAUAUAUGCCUGCAGUGUUCACACCCGCGUCACACAGGCCAAUCUUAAAAUGUGACUGCCUAACCAGAAGGUACAGAUUUCUCACUAGGCACUCAAGUCAGUUCAGACAGGGAUUACACACCUAAGAGCCAAUUUAAGCAUCCAGUUGUAGGAUUUUGCUGUUCUCGUUAGGCGCCUCCAUUUAAAAAUUGAGCUUCCAAAAUAAAAGCCCACAAUCUGUGAGGAGCUGCCCUCCUUACCUGGGGGAAGGAUAGGCCUCUGACUAUUUUAAUCACACACA